UACAUAGGGGGCGAGCGUUAUCCGGAUUUAUUGGGCGUAAAGGGUGCGUAGGCGGUAGAUUAAGUCUAAGGUUAAAGUGCAGGGCUCAACCCUGUGAUGCCUUAGAAACUGGUUUACUUGAGUUUGGUAGAGGUAAGUGGAACUCCAUGUGUAGCGGUAAAAUGCGUAAAUAUAUGGAAGAACACCAGUGGCGAAGGCGGCUUACUGGGCCACAACUGACGCUGAGGCACGAAAGCGUGGGGAGCAAACA
rnacentral:rRNA from 1 species